AACGAACGCUGGCGGCAUGCCUAACACAUGCAAGUCGAACGGGUGUAGCAAUACAUCAGUGGCGCACGGGAUAGUAACGCGUGGGAAUCUGCCUCGUAGUUCGGAAUAACACCGGGAAACUGGUGCUAAUACCGAAUACGCCCUUCGGGGGAAAGUUUUUCGCUAUGAGAGGAGCCCGCGUUGGAUUAGCUAGUUGGUGAGGUAACGGCUCACCAAGGCGACGAUCCAUAGCUGGUCUGAGAGGACGAUCAGCAUCACUGGGACUGAGACACGGCCCAGACUCCUACGGGAGGCAGCAGUGGGGAAUAUUGGACAAUGGGCGAAAGCCUGAUCCAGCCAUGCCGCGUGUGUGAAGAAGGUCUUCGGAUUGUAAAGCACUUUAAGUUGGGAGGAAGGACAGUAAGUUAAUACCUUGCUGUUUUGACGUUACCGACAGAAUAAGCACCGGCUAACUUCGUGCCAGCAGCCGCAGUAAGAC
rnacentral:rRNA from 1 species